rnacentral:rRNA from 1 species
GGGCUUGACAUCCCACGAACCUGCCCGAAAGGGUCGGGUGCCCGCAAGGGAGCGUGGAGACAGGAGGUGCAUGGCUGUCGUCAGCUCGUGUCGUGAGAUGUUGGGUUAAGUCCCGCAACGAGCGCAACCCUCACCCCUUGUUGCCACCAGGUAAUGCUGGGCACUCUAGGGGAACUGCCCCGGUCAACGGGGAGGAAGGCGGGGAUGACGUCAAGUCAUCAUGCCCCUUACGCCUUGGGCUACACACGUGCUACAAUGGCCGGUACAAAGGGAUGCGAGACCGCGAGGUGGAGCCAAACCCAAAAAGCCGGUCUAAGUUCAGAUUGGAGUCUGCAACUCGACUCCAUGAAGGAGGAAUCGCUAGUAAUCGCGUAUCAGCACGACGCGGUGAAUACGUUCCCGGGCCUUGUACACACCGCCCGUCACACCACGAAAGCCAGCUGUACUCGAAGUCGCUGAG